AUUGAAGCAGCGUAGGGGUGGGCGUGGGGAUUUCUCUCUCUCAUAUUGAUGGUGGGCACAUGUAUGAGCAUGUGAGCAUUGCCUGUCAUUGAGAUGAGUGGGCCCAGUGGCUGCCAGCAUAUAUCUUGCUGACAUGGACCAGAGGUUGUGAGCAGAGGAGCAUCGGGCACGCAGAGGUGGAGAGUUGGCAGGCAGCCACUCCAGCUAUUACAGGCCUUCUGCUCACACUGAGUAUUCCCGUAGUGGCCCGGCACCAAAAGAGGCAGAAAUAAUGGAAGCGGACGCAGAAACUUUGGAAGUUCCCCAGAAAUAACAAGGUAGCAGCCUGUAGAAUCUGCCAGGGUGGCAGGUGCAGUUUAAAGACUAGAAGGCUUGGAGUUCUGGCAUCAAUUCACUGGCUCAGGUGAAGAGAUGUGGUGCACAGAAUUCAUUUCCUCCUGUUUGAGGGGGAACUGCAAUAUUCAGAGCAUCGAAUGGAUGUCCGUCUGCAUGUUCAUGUUGGAUCAUGGAGGAAGGGGGACUGGCUGGCUGGUUGCUUAAUGGCCAGCUGCCAUUUCUUGAAACUAUUACCGAAUUGUGCAUUUCAGAACUACAGUGCCUCUUCCUGAGAGUCUCUCACCUAGAAAUCGGCUCCAACCCCCUCCACAUGCCUCCAUGUGGAUGGGAACAGAGGUGGGCUGGUUUGGGCUGUAUUAUUAACAUGGGAAAGAUAAGGAAAAGGGGAUUUUUUCUUCCUUUCAGGGAUGGAGUGGGAAGGAGAGAAGCACAGCGAGGAAUUCACUGGUGGGGGGGAGCUCUGGAUGGUAGAAUAAUUUUGUGGAGGAAUCAAGAGAAGGAGUAUGGAUUUGAGACUUAAUUUUUGUAACUUGAUCUGAGGGAGAUUGGUUGAAGGGGAAUUGAUCUCUGUCAGAAUCUGAAAGCCACAUUAAUGGGUAUGUUCUUUCUUUGCAGCAAUUUUUUAUGGUUUGGUGAUUUGGGGCUGAGAUCCCACUUCUGUUUGUGUUCAGUUUGUGGCUUUGGGCCACUUCAUCUAGUCCAACAGUGGCCAACCAAAUACCCCUGAGGAGCUCAUAAGCAGAAUAUGAGGGCAACUGUCUUCCCUUGUGUGUUGUCCCACAUGAGCUGUG